rnacentral:sRNA from 1 species
UAAUUUACAAGUUGCUUUACAAAUCGGUC